UCUAAGCUGGUGGAAACCAUGUAACGCGAUGUAACAACCGCAUGUGUGCACGCACUUGGGAUUCUUCGAGCGGAACGUCUGCAAACACGUUUCGUUUCGCGCAAAUCUUGCUGUUAAAGCAGCUCGAAAUAUUAGGUUUCCGACUGAAUUCGCGUAUUUUUCAUCGAAAUCGCUGUAUAGAAAAAGUAUAGCGAGACGACUGGUUACGUAAAUUUCUAAAAUAACAUUUUAACACCUUGCUUUGCGUCAGCAAUUAACGAUGUGUUAAUUAAAAAUCAAGGAGCCUCCUCUUAAACGCUAUUCAUUUUCUAAACGUUUCUUAGAAUAUAUUGAUAUCGUUAUUAAGAGUCGAAUGACACAUAGAUCAUUGAAACAGGGGCUAAUGAAAGGACAAUAGACGCAAUGAAGAUCGCAGACAACGAAGAUUAAAGCCAGUCCGAGCCGCUUCACGACACUCACAGCUAAACAGCAAAUAACACCCAGAGGCCGUGUAUUGAGCUCUAAUUACAUGGAAUGUGCGACGAGAAUUUCAACAGAUAAUCUUUUAUCUAGACAGAUAAAGUAGCAAACAGGUGUGGUUGCUUAAUCAUCGACUCUGUUGUCGAACAUCGAACAACACAAUACCAAAGACCGCUCGAUUAAUUAACUGUGAUCCCAUGACCAUCGGGAUGAUUCGCAUAUUCCUCGGCUAGUAAUUACACUACAUACCGUAAUAAUUGCGUGACAUCAUCUCUUCGAUUCUUCUAAUGGCCGUUGAUCCUUGUAAUCAUGACUCGUUUCACUAUACUAACUGAUUUCUCGAAAAAAAAAAAAAAAACACACGGU